CGCUUAAAUCCCACCUCUGGUUUAAUUUAUGAAGAUCCUUAAACAGUGUGAGUGAGAUCACCUAUUCAAUAUGUACAAAUUGUAGUAGAAGGUUUAAAAGCUAUGAAACGAGUAAUCGCAUCGAGAUCUUCCUGUUUCAGAAUCUCGAUCUUCCGUUAACCUUGGCCUGUAGAGACACAUGAAUAUGAAAUAGGGACGAUAAGGAAUUCGAUGAAUUCGCACGAGAUUGAGAUUGAAAGCUUCUGAGAGAGAAAGUAAUUCGUUCAAAACAUUUGUUAUCCAUCCGCUUCAGAAAAAUAAUCGAAAUUGGAUUGAUACGAAAUUUAUUGCUUCAACGACGAAUUUUCGUUAUUCCGUUAUGAUUCAUGACUCACGUGUGUUUUCCACGAAUUAUUUUACAAUUUUGCAUUGAGAGUGGCAAAAAUUCUCACCCGGUUAACAAACAAUGCAACUCGAUUUUUCCUCCUGUUCAUUCCAUCUCGUUUCUUCCCCGGGUAAUUUUAUCGAAACGGCAACUAUUAUUCUUGGAACAUGAUCUUGAAGAAUAAAUUUUAGCAGUUUAAUUGUUCGCUGAUACUGAUACGUAUACACGAUAGCAUUGGUGGUAGAGAGAGAGAGAGAGAGAGAGAGAGAUCGGUAUGCAAUUAAAUAGCCGGCUCCAGGUAGAUUAGACGUUUUAACCGACGGACGGUAAUUUUUUAAAUUACAUGUAAUAUAGUCGUAUUGGAUGAUGUUCACCAACGGUCACGAUUCAGUUAAAACAAUUGCGUUAUCCACCGCACACUUUGUAACCGUGAAGGAGGAAGAUUAUUUUUAAUGGGCGAACUCUCCCGCCUCUCCCUUCGCCCCUCUUCGCCCAACGGCUUCUUCCAUUUCGACGGCCUUGAAAUAACGUGCGUCGUGAAAGGACACUGUUUCGCGGGCAAACUUUGUUUACUUUCGUUCUCGUUCUCGUUUCGUUUCGUUUCGUUUCUUCGAUUAUUGGAAAUCAAGAGGGAGAGAUUUUGCGCGACACAAUUGAAUUCUUCUUUUUUUUCGACGGCACCCAUCAAAAUACACGGUGAAGUAAUAUUACAUGUGUAAUCGAGUUAUUCUCGACGAGUGAAAAUAACAGUGUAUUAUCGUCUUGAUUUUACGUCAUUACUCUUCCGCGUAACGAAAAUUGUUUCGAAUAAAAGUUGAAUGGUUUCAAAGUGGAGAGUAAUGCGGUGUAAUUAUUUUUCUGCACGGGGAACACGUGGAGGUUAUAUCAAAGUCAAAACUUUGUUCUUUUCUUUUUGAUGAAUGGUCAUAUAUCCUUUUUAACAUUAGGAUAUUGAGAUGCAGCGGAUGAGAAAGUAUUUGAUUCCGUUUAAAAAAAAUAAAGUUGAACUUCAUGAUUGGAACCGUCCAUCUUUUAUCUGAAACAUUGUUUAAUAUUAUGAAAAACAAGCGAGACACCCGAUAUAUUUCUUAAUUUUUUUAAUAAAUAGAAAACAGAUUGCGGAAAUGAAGAAAGUUAAUUUUUCUGAAUGAUGAUCCUUCAACAGUUAUAAACCAAUUCAAAGCAUUUAUAAAACUUGGCAAAUAAUCAAAAAAAAAAUUGAUGAAUAGAACGGAAAUAGCAGAUGAAUGUUCCAUGAUGAAUGAAAAAAAAUACAUGCAGAAGUGAAUUAUAAGAAUUAUAAGAAGACAGAUAUAUGACAUAAAAAUUGACAUAUAGAAUAAAUUAGGAAAAGAAGACAAUAAAAUUAAAAUCGGAUUCAAAGCCACUUUUGAGCAUAAAUUAUGUAUAUAAAUAUAGACAAGAAGAGAAAAUAAUAAGAGAAGGACAAAGAUAGGAUAAAAAUGCGGGAAUCAACGCCAUCUUCAGAGCGCAAAUAAAACUCGUUAUACAAGGACAAUAGAUAAUAGAAGAAGAAUAGUCAAUUAGUAGUACUUAAUUAGUGGCGCCAUCUCUUCGAGAAAUAUUCAAACUUGUUGUAUUAUUGACUGUAAUUUAAAUUUAAAUAGUCUUUGAACAGUUACGUCAUCUCUGUGGAAAAUAUUGGAACUUUUUUAUGAUUGAUAACUAAUCGUAAUUCAAUAUUUUUCGAAGAGAUGGCGCCAUUAAUCAAAGACUUAAAAAGUUCACUUGUUGGUAAUAAUGCAUGACAAAUUUUAACAUCUUUCGAAAAGAUGACUAGUUGAGUACAGAAAAGUACAAAAAAUAAUUAUAAUUUGCAUUUUUAUUUACGGUAUGUAUAUAUUUUAUAUGUAUUUUAUAUAUAGAAUAUUUUAUUUGAUUAAAACGUAAAUUAAAUGGAAAUAUUACAAUAUGGCUAAAGAUUUUUAUAACUAUAUAAAAACUAAGUAUAUCAAAUUUAAUAAAAUUUAAAUAUAUCAUUUUUUUUCUAAUUAUAUUUCUAUUAAAAUCAUAAUUUUAAAUA
rnacentral:lncRNA from 1 species